AAGCCGUAACAAGGUUUCCGUAGGUGAACCUGCGGAAGGAUCAUUAACACGUAUCCAACGUUAAAAACCUUCAUCGCCGCUCCUCAUGUCUAAGUCUUGGCUCAAGCCAAACAGCAAUCCCUGCACUCAUCCGAGAAAAUGCAAGAGGAGGGACCUCUGUUUGACAGAGCACUAUGGGUUUAAGAGCGCUUGGUAAGGUGGCUUGUUUUUCCCAAGCAGUCAGUGAAUGACAGUGUCGCUGAUUUCGCUACGAUCACUGGAGGUCGGUGGAACAAGUCACAGGGAUUCGGUCCCCCCAACCCCACUUUCUAUUGCCGCUCCGCGCUCACACGCCGGGCAUUCAAAAACGUUUAAACAACUUAACAAUGGAUAUC
rnacentral:misc_RNA from 1 species